UGGGAACCUGCCCUUGUACGGUAACGGAACAACUCCGGGAAACUAGGAGCUAA
rnacentral:rRNA from 1 species